UAAGAGACAAAACAGAGUUUCUACACACAGACUCAAAUAAAAAAACCAAAAAAGAACAAAUUUCUGAUUAGUAAUCAGAUUAACAGCUGCAAAGGAACACACUUCCCAAGCUGUUUCAGUUAGGCUACAAAGUCAUGACACUAAUCAUGUAUUAUCCUCUUCCUAAACACAUUGCAUCAUCCAGAACAACAAAGACUUAUUACUAAUCAAUUACUAAAGAGACAAAACAGAGUUUCUAAACACAAACUCAAUCAAAACCGACAAAGAACAGACUUUUUUGCAGUAAUCAAAGUAACCCACUUCACAAGCUGUCUCAAUAUGUCUACAAAGUCACAACUUUUUAUCAUAUUAACAAUAAAAAUCGAAACUUUACAAUUAAAAAAAAAGGCAAACAGACAAGAAGAAGAUCAACACUACAUACCUUGUUGACAUCGAGAUCAGUUGGCCAGAAGUGCAUAAACUUGGUGAAGUAAUCAAACAUCGCCACAGAGGUAACGAACUCCUUCGGACCCAGCUUAACCGGAUCCGACCCGUUGGGUUUCUCUUCUUCUUCUUCUUCUUCCACUUUCUGCUUCUUGGAUUCGCCUCCAUCCUCUGUUUCCUCCGUCUCCUCUCUCGCGCGUUUCUCCGCAGCCUCCACUUCCAUGUCUGUUAUUGGUUCAGCUGGCGCGGAAGCUACGAUCUCUUGUUGCUCAGCCAUUGUUAAGCUUUCGCCUUUUCUCUCUUUCUAUGGUUGCUAGGGUUUAAGCUUUAGGUCGAGUGUCCUCCUACUAAAAAUAAGGUGAGCGGCGUGUUUAUAUAUUACCGUCGGUUUUUGAUUGAACCGAACCGGUUUAUUCCGGUUUUGUUAAUUGUUUGUUUAUUUAUACUACUUUACUAAUUUCCCUCUGUAGAAUUCUACAAUUAGCUUAUUUUUUUUAAUGAGAUGUUAAUUGUUAAUGAGUUUGAAAGGUAAAAUUUAGUUGUCAAAAAAAAAGUUCAUAAAAAUUUCCAACUUGCUGCUAAUUUUUAACAGUUAUUUUUUAAAUAUAUAUAUUAGAAUAUAAUUUACAUUUAUCAGAGUUAAUUUAUUCAUUUAUAAUGUUUUUAGAAAUUUUCAUUUAAGCAUUAGAUAUUCAAGUCACAAGAAGGUUUAUAUAUUUUUAUUGGAAUGAAUAAUUCAUUGAUAAACACCUAAAAUCAAUUAGUUUUAUCUUUAUUUGUUAAAAAAAGUAUAUAUAUUAUCUACAUUUAUUGAUUUCACUAGAUUUUUUUUUUGUAUUUUCUAGUUAAGAAUAAAUACAAGAUCUUUAUUUCUUAUUUUAAUUAAAUUAGUUUCUUUGAAACCUUUAUUGUGACCAGGAUUGGUACAAAAAAAAAAAAAAAUUAUGAAAUAUCUGAUAGCAACCAAGAAAGUAACUCCGUUACCGUUUGGUUCGAGAGUAGGUGAGAGUACCCGGAGAAUAGAUUAUCAACUCUUCUGAAAUUGCCUUCUAACGGACGCAGCGUGUUAAACCGUCAACAUCCACAGCUCCGGAUUGUGUAUUGAAAACGUAUAGUACAGUAAACACGCGCUUCGAGACAUUUAAUAUACUUAUCUGAAAAUCAUUCAGACCGAACAUCAACACAAGAAAACACAUUUUGUACCAAAGUUUCGUUUGAGAGCUGUUCGUGCCUUCAAAAAAUCAUCGAUAGAUAGCUUCUUCCUACGAUUCCAGAGUAUAUUCUAUCAGGUAACAGUAACAAUCUUUGAUCCUCUCUGUCCUCUAGGGUUACGGUUGCUUGUUUCUACGAUUGAGAAUUUUGAUUUCUGAAUUGUGAUCGAAUCUUCUCUCUCUCUCCCUCGUUCGUGUUCAUGGUUGAGAUUGGAUCCUAAACAUUUGUUGGGAGCUUUCUUGUUUUUUUUAACAGGUCAACGUUUUUUUUCAGCAUUGAGGGUAAAGUGUGAGAGAGAUGUCAGAUCAUCUGAGUUCAUGUACCGACCGUCUUGUUACAUCUGAUCACAUUAAUUCAGACAAUGAAUCUUCUGGAGAAUGUUCCAGAGCUCAAGGCACCACAAGCCUGUCUACUACUAAACCUGAGGAAGUAGAAGAAGAAAGCCAUGUUAAUGAUGAAGAGGAACCGCUUAUCCAAUCAGUUGAAUGUCGUAUUUGCCAAGAGGAGGAUUCUGUUAAGAACCUCGAGUCUCCAUGUUCUUGUAGCGGCAGCUUGAAGGUGAGUUCUUCUUCUGUUUUUUUCGGUAUAUUGUAGCUGAAAACUGAACUACUUUGGUUUUCUGUUGUAUCCAGUAUGCUCACAGGAAGUGUGUUCAGCGUUGGUGUAAUGAGAAAGGCGACACCAUCUGUGAGAUAUGCCACAAGGUAAACAUAUAUAAUCAAUGUUCAAGAAAUCGCUAGGCGGUGGUUAAACGUUUUAUAUCAGAUUAUUGAUUAUGCGGGCAUCUAGACCAAAAUGCCCAAGAAAAAAAACAGAAUCGGCAUAAUAUUUUUUAAGAAAAAUCGUUUGGUUUGGGUCUAAUUUGCAGCCGCCUAGACCGAUUUUUAGAAAAAUAAAUGUCAUCAUUGAUUAUAAUCAUUUUCAUUGCAAUUACUAAGAUCUUUGUUUUCUUCUCCCUUGAUGAUAACAACAGUCUUAUCAACCUGGCUACACAGCUCCACCACCUCCUCCUCCUGAUGAUACCAUUAUCGAUAUGGGGUAACAUUUUCUGAACCUGUCUCUUGUGGUUUCAUAUAGCAUAAUAUUAUUUUUAUUCAAGAAACGUUUGUUGUGUUUGUGUGUGUUAUGCAGUGAAGAUUGGGGUAAUGGUGUUCCCUUAGACUUGAACGACCCGCGCAUUUUAGCAAUGGCGGCUGCAGAACGCCACUUCUUCGAUGCUGACUAUGAUGAGUAUGCUGAUUCUAACUCUAGUGGAACUGCGUUUCUUCGCUCUGCUGCACUUAUCGUAAGCCCCCACAUUAAUGUUCUGUUUAUAACAUUUCUUUGUUGAAAAAUUGAAACUUAUUGAGAGUUGAAAUGGCAGUUAAUGGCACUUUUGUUGUUAAGACACGCUAUGAACCUUUCAAACAACAACUCAGACGACGAAGAAGAUGAUCCAUCAGCUUUCUUCUUUGUAAGCAACAUCUCUUGCUACACCGUUAAAUAAUCUCUCGUUUUGAAUGUUUUGAGCCUGAAGGCCCAUGAUGAGGCCCAAACCAUUUUAAAUUAAUUUUUCUUGAAAAAAAAAUAUCUUGUCAUAGUAUUUACUCUCUCUCUCUCUCUCCCUUUGGUUUCGGACAGCUUUUCAUGCUACGUGCUGCUGGUUUUCUCCUCCCGUGUUACAUCAUGGCUUGGGCCAUCAGUAUAUUACAACGCCGUAGACAAAGACAGGUAAAAUAACACACUCCACACACAUUAGUCUAAGCUUAUGUUUACUCUCUUAUGUUCUUGUGUUUGUGAAUAUCAGGAAGCAGCGGCUCUGGCCGCUGCAGAAGUUGCGUUUAUGUUACACAGCGGUGGAGGACAACGCAGAGGAGGAUUGCACUAUGCUGUAGCACCUGAGCUGGUACCGAGUCCACAAGGGCAACAACACCAACCUGAAGCUGCACCGCAAUGAUUAUAUAUAGUCUUGAUCACUAGUGAGGAAAGUAAAAACAUCAUCCAGGGAUUUGGUUUCUCUGUCUGUAGUAGCUGUUUGUUGUUUAUUCGGUUCUUGGAACAGAGCAAAAAAUUAAAAGCUUCAAAAUUUCAAUUUAAAGCAACAAGAGUCAGCAAGCAAAUUCAUCUUCUGAACCUCCCACCUCUACCACCACCACGUCCACCUCUUCUUCCCCCACCGCGACCUCCCCCACCGUGCCCAUUACCGUUAGACCCAGGAGUUUUCAUGUUUUCAGGCAACGGGAGGAUGUGAUCAACGCACUUCCUGUAGCUGAAAUCAUCAGCAGUGUCGUCUUCCCUAACCAAAAAGAAGCACCUGCUCUUCCACAUCGGAUGGGUUCUUACUUGGAAGGCUUUGAUCCCUCCUCCAAUCUUAUUGUCAGGCUCAGUAUGGCCUUUCUUGAUCAGAUCUAACAGCACCAUGUGUUCAUACUGAAAAAUGUAACAAAUUAGUUAUAACCUCCAAAGAAACUGCAAUAACAAGCACAUACAGUAUACAUCAACUUAACCUCUGUUGUCUAACCAAUAUUCAGAAAAUUACAAGAACACACUUCCUAUUCAUGCAAAUGUAUAUAUAUAUAUAUAAAAGAUUUUUUUUUUUUUUUUUUGCAAAUAACUUUCGAGUAGUAAUCAAAGUAACAUCUGCAAAGGAACACACUUCCCAAUCUGUUUCAGUUGGGCUACAAAGUCACGAUUUUUAUCAUGUAUUAUUAUCCUCUUCCUAAACACAUUGCAUCAUCCACAACCACAAAUGUUAUUAUUUAUUUAUUUAUUUGUGCACAAAUGUUAUUAACAAUCAAUAAAUAAGAGACAAAACAGAGUAUCUACACACAACACAAACUCAAUCAAAACCGACAAAGAACAGACAUUUUUGCAAAGAACUUUCCAGCAGUAAUCAAACUAAGAACUAACAAAGGAACACACUUCACAGUUGAUAAAUCAUCUUUCCUAAACAAGUUGAGUUUCAUUGUAAAGUUUCAAUUUUUUAUUAUAACCCAAUAUCAACAACCCAACAAACAUAAUAAAAAUCGAAACUUUACAAUUAAAAAAAGGCAAAAAGACAAGAAGAAGAUCAACACUACAUACCUUGUUGACAUCGAGAUCAGUUGGCCAGAAGUGCAUAAACUUGGUGAAGUAAUCAAACAUCGCCACAGAGGUAACGAACUCCUUCGGACCCAGCUUAACCGGAUCCGACCCGUUGGGUUUCUCUUCCUCUUCCACUUUCUGCUUCUUGGAUUCGCCUCCAUCCUCUGUUUCCUUCGUCUCCUCUCUCGCGCGUUUCUCCGCAGCCUCCACUUCCAUGUCUGUUAUUGGUUCAGCUGGCGCGGAAGCUACGAUCUCUUGUUGCUCAGCCAUUGUUAAGCUUUCGCCUUUUCUCUCUUUCUAUGGUUGCUAGGGUUUAAGCUUUAGGUCGAGUGUCCUCCUACUAAAAAUAAGGUGAGCGGCGUGUUUAUAUAUUACCGUCGGUUUUUGAUUGAACCGAACCGGUUUAUUCCGGUUUUGUUAAUUGUUUGUUUAUUUAUACUACUUUACUAAUUUCCCUCUGUAGAAUUCUACAAUUAGCUUCUUUUUUUUAAUGAGAUGUUAAUUGUUAAUGAGUUUGAAAGGUAAAAUUUAGUUGUCAAAAAAAAAGUUCAUAAAAAUUUCCAACUUGCUGCUAAUUUUUAACAGUUAUUUUUUUAAAUAUAUAUAUUAGAAUAUAAUUUACAUUUAUCAGAGUUAAUUUAUUCAUUUAUAAUGUUUUUAGAAAUUUUCAUUUAAGCAUUAGAUAUUCAAGUCACAAGAAGGUUUAUAUAUUUUUAUUGGAAUGAAUAAUUCAUUGAUAAACACCUAAAAUUAAUUAGUUUUAUCUUUAUUUGUUAAAAAAAGUUAUAUAUAUUAUCUACAUUUAUUGAUUUCACUAGAUUUUUUUUUUGUAUUUUCUAGUUAAGAAUAAAUACAAGAUCUUUAUUUAUUAUUUUAAUUAAAUUGGUUUCUUUGAAACCUUGAUUGUGACCAGGAUUGAUACAAAAUAAAAAAAUUAUGAAAUAUCUGAUAGCAACCAAGAAAGUAACUCCGUUACCGUUUGGUUUGAGAGUAGGUGAGAGUACCGUGAGAUAGAUUAUUAUCAACUCAACUCUUCUGAGAAUGCCUUCUAACGGACGCACCGUGUUAA
rnacentral:lncRNA from 1 species